UCCUCUCGCCCUCGCUCUCUUGCUCUCGCUCUCUCCUACCGCCGGCGGAACCAAAAGGAAGCCCUCCGUCCAGCGCUGGCCGCGGCGGCGGCGGCGGCGCAGCAGCCCGCGCCUUCUCGCCUCCUGCACUCCAAGGUGAGGCACCCAGUCCCCCCCUCCCCUCUUCACGCAGGCUUCGUCCCGAUCAGGCGUAGGAUCGUCGGAUUCGUGCUCCCCGUCGUUAACCCUAACCCUAAUUUUAGAUUCGUGCUCCCGAUGACGGCCAUGGACCUGGGCUACAUUGCUAGCGCUGCCGACAUCGUUUCGAUUCGUUCCGAUCUGUCCGUGGCGUUUUCGUAUGUCUUUGCCUGGUGAUGAUGGUGUCCAUUUCUUGGGGAUGUUGCUUGAUCCGUGUUGGUGAGUGUAGGUAGAAACGGACGUGAAUCUGAAAUGUUCAAGAUGUUGGUUGGGACCUUGAUGAUAUGAAAUUGGAGAUCUGUUGGCCGGUGGGAUGUUAUUUUGUCACCUUACUCAUAUUUGGUACAAAAUUGAUGUUGUGGGUGUGGGCUGGCACCAACCAUGGCAUGGCUAGCUUUGGUUGGAAUGCCAAUGCCAAGUCAAACUGCUUCUACGGUUUCUGCUACCCGGUUUGCCAGCUCUUACCACUUGGCUUGCUGUUCAUGCAUGUCUGUGAUAUUGCUAUAUGCACUCCCACUUGGCUUGCUGUUCAUGCAUGUCUGUGAUAUUGCUAUAUGCACUGAGGCACUAAAUUUAUGCAGAGGACAGAGAUAUUUAUAUCUUAGCUUAGUUUUUUUGUCAGCUAUGGUAAAUACUACUGUACUAUAUUGGAGUUUGUCAUAUCUCGG
rnacentral:lncRNA from 1 species